rnacentral:rRNA from 1 species
UACGUAGGGUGCAGGCGUUAAUCGGAAUUACGGGGCGUAAAGCGUGUGCAGGCGGUUUCUUAAGUCAGAUGUGAAAGCCCCGGGCUUAACCUGGGAACUGCGUUUGAAACUGGGAGACUUGAGUGUGGCAGAGGGGGGUGGAAUUCCACGUGUAGCAGUGAAAUGCGUAGAUAUGUGGAGGAACACCAAUGGCGAAGGCAGCCCCCUGGGUCAACACUGACGCUCAUGCACGAAAGCGUGGGGAGCAAACAGG